rnacentral:rRNA from 1 species
UACGUAGGGGGCAAGCGUUGUCCGGAAUCAUUGGGCGUAAAGCGCGUGUAGGCGGCUCGAUAAGUCUGCUGUGAAAGUCCAGGGCUCAACCCUGGGAUGCCGGUGGAUACUGUCGAGCUCGAGUCCGGAAGAGGCGAGUGGAAUUCCUGGUGUAGCGGUGAAAUGCGCAGAUAUCAGGAGGAACACCAAUGGCGAAGGCAGCUCGCUGGGACGUGACUGACGCUCAUGCACGAAAGCGUGGGGAGCAAACAGG